UGGGGAAUUUUGGACAAUGGGCGAAAGCCUGAUCCAGCCAUGCCGCGUGAGUGAAGAAGGCCUUCGGGUUGUAAAGCUCUUUUAGUCGGAAAGAAAGAGUUGCAAUGAAUAAUUGUGAUUUAUGACGGUACCGACAGAAAAAGCACCGGCUAACUACGUGCCAGCAGCCGCGGUAAUACGUAGGGUGCGAGCGUUAAUCGGAAUUACUGGGCGUAAAGGGUGCGCAGGCGGUCUUGCAAGUUAGAUGUGAAAGCCCCGGGCUUAACCUGGGAAUUGCGUUUGAAACUACAAGGCUAGAGUGCAGCAGAGGGGAGUGGAAUUCCAUGUGUAGCAGUGAAAUGCGUAGAGAUGUGGAAGAACACCGAUGGCGAAGGCAGCUCCCUGGGUUGAAACUGACGCUCAUGCACGAAAGCGUGGGGAGCAAACA
rnacentral:rRNA from 1 species